GCCCCGAUGGCGAAACUGGUAGACGCACGGCACUCAAAAUGCCGCGCCCGUGAGGGCAUGUUGGUUCGAUUCCGACUCGGGGCACCA
rnacentral:tRNA from 1 species